CGAGUCGGUCGGACGGUCGCUGUUCGGUUGCCGGCAACGGCGCUGGAGAGAGGAAAGUCCGGGCUCCACAGGACACGGUGGCGGAUAACGUCCGCCGUCCAAGGCUUCGGCCCCUCAACGCCGCGGCCAAGGAUCGGGAAAGUGCAACAGAAAGCAGACCGCCUCCAGGCAUAAACCCCUGGAGGUAAGGGUGAAACGGUGGGGGGACUCGCGUCCCUUAAUGUAAGAGCCCACCAGCAGCCUGGUAACAGGCUGGCUCGGCAAACCCCACCGGGAGCAAGGCCAAGCAGGGAGCAGGAUCUGUCCGGUCCGCCACGACUCCCGGGUAGGCUGCUGGACCGCCGAGGCGACUCGGCGGCUAGAGAAAUGAUCGUCGCCAGGCCUCACCGCCUGGUACAAAACCCGGCUUACAGACCGGCUCGCGGG
rnacentral:RNase_P_RNA from 1 species